AACACGUGGGGAACCUGCCCCAUAGUCUGGGAUACCACUUGGAAACAGGUGCUAAUACCGGAUAAGAAAGCGGAUCGCAUGAUCAGCUUUUAAAAGGCGGCGUAAGCUGUCGCUAUGGGAUGGCCCCGCGGUGCAUUAGCUAGUUGGUAAGGUAAAGGCUUACCAAGGCGAUGAUGCAUAGCCGAGUUGAGAGACUGAUCGGCCACAUUGGGACUGAGACACGGCCCAAACUCCUACGGGAGGCAGCAGGG
rnacentral:rRNA from 1 species